rnacentral:piRNA from 1 species
UACGUAAAAGGUUUUGAUGUUGGCAAU